CUUUAUCCUUUAUCCAUGAGUAACUAUAUCAUGAGAAUCUGCUGUUUUACUACCUGCCAACCAUCCCUUUAGGUUUGGUAGUGGGUUUGAGGAGGGAAGGUGAGGUGCAAUUAGGUGAAGGGAUGGACAUUCCUUCGAGCCUUCAUGUUUGGUUGGAGAGAGAGUGAAGGGAGGUGGACCUUUUUGUAGUUCACUUUCUCUCUCCUCUUGUGUCCUCUGUGAUCCCAAUUUGAGGGAUUCUCUCUCUAGAUUUCUAGUUCAUUUUGCAUUAGCUCACCUCACCGGCUCACCCCACAUCACCCGCUCACCCUGCCUCACCUUCCCCUCUAAAUACCCUCUGCCAAAGGGGAUUUUAGUUUUGUCCCUCACUUCACCCUACCUCCCCCAUACCAAACCAAACCUUAGUUUGGCUAGUAUCUAGCAUAUAUCUACUUUUUUUUGUCUUUUUGUCAGAAAUUUAAUUUUCUAAUAGUUAGGGUGUUGACAUCAGGUCGUAGCAACAUGAAUUUGGUAAUCGUUCCUCAGAACCUUCUGAUCUGGGCCUGUGCCCGACAGAGGGCAUAACUUUUUUCUUCAUGUUACGUUUAUGUGGCUCUCUUCAUGGAGAACUCAAUGUGCUUGUGGAAAUUUAAAGGAGCAAUUUUGACAUAAUGUUCAGCUGGACUUUGUGUUGGAUAUGGGGCAUUUCCCCUUAGCAUUAUCUAAUGUCUGUGGAGGGCAGAGCAACCAUAUAAUGUGUCUGUUGCAGCUGAAGUUUCUGCUUGUGCUGCUUUACAGAACCCUGAUUGUUUGGAGGUGCAUUCACAUAAGAAUAUGUUGUACUUCUUGUUUUUAGAUGACUUUCUGUAUUUAAGUUUACAAUUUUAUUUAGUUAUGUAUCACCCCUCAUAAGGUGAAAAUUUUUCUAGUACAAGAAAGAGUAAAGUUGUAUCAUCUUUUGAAGGAAGUGCCUUACUAGAAGCCACACCAAAGCUAUUCUAAUUUCAUUCUCUGUGAGGUUACAUCUGGAAAGGAUGCUAAGAGAUUAGAGGAACGUCUUUCACAAAUGGGUAUAAUGAUCCAUCAUUACGGCAACAAGGCGCUAAAGGGAUAUGCUCGAAUCUCUGUUGGGAAGCCUGAGCAUACCGAUGCUUUAAUUCAAUGCCUCAAAACUCCUCUCAUGCUAACAAAUGAGCAAAUGAAUGGAAUUUCUGGCUCUCUCUUUUCUGAUGAGAUGUUAGGCCAGCAAUUUCACCAUACAUUGAUGUCAGCAAUGCACGCGAGGAAGAAAUAGUAUCCCCUGAUUCAGUGUUUUAUUUUUUUUCCGGAAUAAUAUAUUUUACCCAGCAUUGUAGUUAGUUCUAGAUUUUCCAUUAAUUCACUGGAUAACACCUUGUUCAAAAUAUUUUCCAUCACUACCAAGUAAUCUGCAGCAUAGCAACUUCUUUCUGAGCAUGUUGUUUUGGGCUUACUACCUCUGUAGUCUCGUUGUUGCGAAAAGACCCCCUGGGUCAACAAUUUUCGACUCUUUUACCCUGGGUGAGAUUUUGGCAGAUAUUGUCCCUGGUUGAAAUUAUUGAGCUUUAGGGUAUAAGAUCAAAAAAGAAGAAAUUUUCUAAACAAACCCAUCCAUAAAUUUUUUUUCUUAAAAUAGAACCCCC